UGGGGAAUAUUGCACAAUGGGGGAAACCCGUGAUGCAGCGACGCCGCGUGAAGGAAGAAGUAUCUCGGUAUGUAAACUUCUAUCAGCAGGGAAGAUAGGUGACGGUACCUGACUAAGAAGCCCCGGCUAAUUACGUGCC
rnacentral:rRNA from 1 species